rnacentral:rRNA from 1 species
AUUGAACGCUGGCGGCAUGCCUUACACAUGCAAGUCGAACGGCAGCGCGGGAGCAAUCCUGGCGGCGAGUGGCGAACGGGUGAGUAAUAUAUCGGAACGUGCCCAGUAGUGGGGGAUAGCCCGGCGAAAGCCGGAUUAAUACCGCAUACGACCUGAGGGGGAAAGGGGGGGAUCGCAAGACCUCUCGCUAUUGGAGCGGCCGAUAUCAGAUUAGGUAGUUGGUGGGGUAAGGGCCUACCAAGCCUGCGAUCUGUAGUUGGUCUGAGAGGACGCCCAGCCACACUGGGACUGAGACACGGCCCAGACUCCUACGGGAGGCAGCAGUGGGGAAUUUUGGACAAUGGGCGCACGCCUGAUCCAGCAAUGCCGCGUGCAGGAAGAAGGCCUUCGGGUUGUAAACUGCUUUUGUCAGGGAAGAAAUCCUCUAGGCUAAUACCUUGGGGGGAUGACGGUACCUGAAGAAUAAGCACCGGCUAACUACGUGCCAGCAGCCGCAGUAA